rnacentral:lncRNA from 1 species
UAGGUUUAUAACCAUGAACAACUUCAAAAGGACUCAUGCCUAAAGACCGAUUCACAGAACUGUUAUAUGCAAUUUGGCUAUCGGGAGGAUUAAAUCCCAGUUCCUCAGAUUUUCCUGAACUAGACAUCUUAAUAGGUUACCAAGACUGCGAUUAACAACUUCAGUUUGAUUAUCGGUCUGAUGAUGAUAUGUAGUGGAAAAUUUCAACUUAGUGCCGACCAUGUGCCAUAAGGUUCUCUAGAACUGGCUAGUAAACCGAACAUCCCUAUCGACACAAUGGUCUUAGGAAGGCCAUACAAUUUAACAAUCUCAUUAAAGUACAGCCUAGCAACCUUAGACGCAUCUGAAGUCUUGCUGCAAGGGAUAAAGUGGGCCAUUUUCGAGAAACGAUCCACUAUAACAAAAAUAAAAUCAUGUUUCUUUGGAGUACGUGGGAGUCCUAGUACAAAAUCUAUACUGACGUCUUGCCAAGGACAACUAGGGACGGGAAGAGGUGUUUAAAGUCUAGUGUUUUGUCUCUUCUAUUUGGUCAACUGACAGGUGUUACAAGCACUAACAAUCUUAACUACAUCUGUCUUCAAACGAGGCCAAUAAAAUAGACGUUCAACCUCUUCGAUUGUAUUAUCAUGUCUAAAAUGCCCAGCCAGGCCGCAUGACUUUCCCAAACUAUAAAGUCUCGUACUGAAGUCCGAUGGAUGCACAAUUUUUUGGACCUAAAAAGAUAACCAUCCUCCAGACGAAAACUAUCAGUAGCAUUCAAUUGUCCACUUUGCAAUGCAAGGAAAAUGUCCUUGAAAUCGAGACAUGACUCAUAAUCUUCUUUGAAUCGUUCAAAACCUAUGACCUUGACACUCAUAUUGGUUAAAAGCGGAAUGCGGCGGCUUAAAGCAUCCGCCGCUUGAUUUUCACUGCCC